UACGGAGGAUCCAAGCGUUAUCCGGAUUCAUUGGGUUUAAAGGGUGCGUAGGCGGACUGAUAAGUCAGCGGUGAAAUCUCUCGGCUCAACCGAGAAACUGCCGUUGAUACUGUUAGUCUUGAAUGCAGAUGAUGUGGGCGGAAUAUGACAUGUAGUGGUGAAAUACUUAGAUAUGUCAUAGAACACCGAUUGCGAAGGCAGCUCACAAAACUGUGAUUGACGCUGAUGCACGAAAGCGUGGGGAUCGAACAGG
rnacentral:rRNA from 1 species